GCAACAUUAGUCCAAGGGUAGGAUUCGAGCCCCCCAAGCUCGAGACCCGGGUUCGAGUCCCGGAUGUUGCA